AGGUCAUAAUAUGGACACUUGCGCGAUACAUCCAUGUAUCUCUCCCAUGCCUAUAAUGAUUCACCCUCAAAUUGGGUGAAAGUAGUGAUAUCAUUCCUUAACUU